AACCGCGUAACACAACCCCUUUGGAUCUUCUUCUUCGUUCCAACAACAAUAGACCUUAGGAGACAUAUACACACAUAGAGACGGAUACACCGUAGACCAAGGAGGACCCCCCAAUGUUUCUUCUUCUUCAGACACCCGAAGCAGCCAUGAGAGAAGCUUAACGCCACCGACCAACAGCCUAACGCCACCGACCAACAGCCUAACGCCGGACACAUGCACACACGCACCGACAGGCUGUCGUUCUUCCGCCUUCGAGCUCGCCAGAAAAUGGACAACAGCCGUACACCCUUCUUCUUCGGCACUACCUCAAUAGCAUCACACACGCACACACGCACACACGAACAGAGUUAGGGAACGGAUAUAGAGCUAGAAUAGGCAGACACGAACAGAGAAAUCGAAAGUAGUACAAAAAAAUUACUUCGUCUUCUCCAUUCUCGAUUUGGUUCUUAGUUUUCUGCAACAUGGAGUUUAAUUGAGGUUCGGAGCCGAAUUUGAGUUUGAAUUAUGUGGAGGUCGCCGUUGAAGGUAGUCUGUUCCGAAUUCGAUGAGGUUUCCGGUUCGAGAUUUCGAUUUUGCUCGCGAUUUCUUGCUCGACUUUGGUGCUGUUGUUUCGCUUGAAUUUGGAAGUUAACAUCUGAAUCAGUUGGCCCAUUUUCUAAUUUCAGGUUCAUUUCUUCUCUAUUUCUCUAUGGCUUGUGAUUUUGUGUUAUGUUGGAUGAAUAUUGAGAUAUUAGCCUACUGUUUAUAGCAUGUCUUGGUUUAAAUUUUGCUAGAAUUUGCCGGAACAAGUAUUAUGUGGUUCAUCUAGUGAAAAUUUAAGAUUACAUUGAAGUUAUAGGUUAAAAUUUCCUCAUCUAGAUAUCAGUACAUUGGUUUAAAGCUCAGAUGCGCGUCUUAGAGUAAUCGACUAUUUUUUUUAAAAAUGGAUUCAUAUAUACCUCAAAUGGAUUCAUAGUUGGUGAUAUUCAUUAGUCUGUACCAUGUUCUUAACAUAUGCUUAGAUUUUACUUUCAAUUUCAAUCAAUAGCAUGCGUCUGCUAGCUCUUUUCAUGAAUUUGUUAUAGUUUCAUUAUUAAAGUAAGUUCACGUAUUUUCGCUUUGAGUUAUCCCAUUUGAGUCCAAAUUUGGCCAUCACUUAGUAAGUUUAUGUUUGGGGCAUUAAAAAGUAAAAAAAAAAUGAAAAUUUGGAUCUUAAAUCUUCAUUGCUUUUGUUUAUAGCUUUAUUGUUCGUUCGGAUUGAUAGGAUCAUGUUUUAGGACGACCACACCCGGGUAAAAGAAUCUUUAGGCGCAUUUUGAAUUUAUUAUCGUGAUCGCAUAUACAUUCGCGUGAUAUGAUUACAGUUUCUAAGAUGAAUAUUCGUAGUUUGCUUUAGGCAGGUUCAAUAUACCAUCGUGGUUUUGUACACGUUCGCGUGACAUAAUUAAGAUUUUCGAAAUAAAUCGAGGUAUGCGUUCGUGCAACUUCGGCCAAACUUUUUUAAUAUUAAUAAAGCGUUAUUAAUUGUGGACACGUAUGCGUGAUAUAGUUUUUGAUGCGCCAAACAAAUGAGUACACUACGCAUGACCUGUUUUAAAAUAAUUUCCUAAAAAAAGGAGGCAAAUGCACAUAGGUUCUAAAAUGGGUAAUUAAACAAUUUAAUUGAGCAAAGUAUGAUCAAAAGGAACAUGCUAAAACCACGAAAAAUGAGAAUGCUUAACACAUUCUCACGGGUUAACAGAAUUCCUUACCCGAAUUUAUGUGUUCACAGACCAUAAAUAGGAGUCAACUUUCCUUGAUUUGGGAGUUAAACCGGUGACUUGGGGCACCAUAAAUUAUCCCAAGUGGCGACUCUGAAUUUAAUAUAAAUAGUCCAGUUUUGAUUUUCACUUAAAUUAGAAAAAACUCCCCUAUACCCCUUCUCUGGUGUAGAAAAAGGAGGUGUGACAGCUCUAACGACUCUGCUAGAGACAAGAACCCAGAAUCUCUAGUUUAGAGUUCAGGAAAUCGAGCUUGUUUUUAUGAUUUUUACUUGGCUUUAUUUAUUGUUCAUAUUAUCGUAUUUGUGGACCUAGUAUGCUAAAUGUUGCUUAUUUAUCGCGUUCAUAUUACUUGAACUGUAUUAAACUGUCUUCAUACGCCUUCCUUCUGAGUCUUCAAAAAAAAAAAUGGUGCAUACGUUCAUGUGGCCCAAUUUUUCUGUUAGAAGUUAUACCAAAUAGAACGAGGAUGGGGCAGCAACAAGGCCGGGUAGACUUUCGUGUUAUUGGUACGUUGACCCCUCUUUGGCUCGAGUUGUCCGCUCGGGUAAGCCAGCUCAAGAACACAACCCCAGAUUUAAACUUAGAAUAACAUAACCUCAUGCUGGAUCCUUAGUAGGAACCUUUAUUUUCAUCACGUGCAUUUGACGUAGGGGACUCAACAUAGGAGUUGGGUCAGUCUAGGACAGGUGUAUCCAAAAAUACAAGACCAUCCUGUUGCAUCCUAUGUGCUCCAUAUUGCAAUCUUCAAGGGUAAAAGGAUUAUUUGACAGACCAGUGAUGAUUGAGGGUAAAUGAGAAAGAAAAGAAGGUGAAGUGUGAAAAUAAAGAAAGUAGGGCCCAAUUAGAAUUUUUUUCACACUUUUCAAGAAAAGACAAAAAAAAUAAAAAUGAAAUAAUCCAAAAAGAUUUUGCAUUUUCCCAUCAUUUUUCAAAAAAAUAAGAAAAAAAGAGAAAAGAAAAUCCAAUUUUUUUGCAUGUUUCAUCAUUUUCAAAGAAAAAGAAGACAAAAAAAAUAUUUUCUCUAAAUUAGUUAUUUUUUUAAAUUUUCGUCCAUAUCCAAUCUGGCCGAACUACGCAUACCCGAUUCUCGUCUUUCGGGGCGUGAUACGUAGGCAAGCCACAUAGGGUCCGGUGAUCCUAGUGAGUUUAGGUUCUUGACUUCGCGGGGUCUUAGCCAAAUAUUGCAUUUUAAGCCAGUUUUAGUCACAUAGGUUAAUUUUAAAAAAAUAGUCACAAUCAUGUCUUGCAUGUGUCUAAGAGGGGGUUAUUAUCUCGCAUAGAGUUCUAGGUCUUUGACUUAUUUGGUCUUAAUUUUCUCAUACAUGUGCAGAUCUACUUACCGAAGUUUGGGCAUGACAGACGCCCUAGGACCAUCCAGUCAGAGUCGUUCAUUCAGGAGUUUGCUUAAAGAGAUUUUUUCUUAGUUACUCCAUCUGUUUCAUAUUGUUUGAGGUAGUUUGACUCGGCAUGGAGUUUAAGAAAAAAGAAGAAGACUAUUAAAACUUGUGGUCUUAAAAAAUUAAGGGGUAAAAGAUUUAUGGGGCCAUACCAUUUGUGUGGCUAUAAAAGCUUCUCACUAAGGGUAAAAAAGGUAAAAUGAAGAGUUUAAAGUUGAAUUAUUUUCAAAUUUUGAAAUGUGUCAUUUAUUUUGGAACAGACUAAAAAGGAAAUUAUCUCAAACAAUAUGAAACGGAUGGAGUAUUAUGUUUUGAGUUUGUUCUUCUUUUUAUGUUAUCUUUUGCCUUCUAGUUUUGUACAUAUCGAGUCUUUUAGGUGAUGUUAGAGUCUUUCAUAGUCUGUUUAAGUUUUUCGAGUCUUUUGUUAUUGUAUUACCUAUUUUGUAUUUGAAAAUGUGUUAUAAAUCAAAAAUUCAAAAAGAAAUUGUAUUUUUAUAUUUCCGUUAGAAGUUUUCUUUAGAAUACUAAUUCUAGAAUAAAAAAAGAAAUCAUUUGAUGUGGUUUUCCUUUACAAAAUUAACAUCUAGAACUCAAAAUAGAAAUUGCUUUUAUAUUUUCUUUCGUAUAUUAAAGACUAAAAAUUUAAAAACAAAAAGGAGAGAAUUUUCUUUUAGUAUCACUUUAAAGGUUUUCUUUAAGAUAUUAAUUUCAAAAAUAAAAAAAGAUUUUCUUUUGAGGUUCUUUUUUCGGAAAUUAAUGAAUAAUGAAUAAAACAAAAAUUCUGUCAUCACCAUCGGGAGUCGUGAUGGCGCCUACUGUAGGAGCUAGGCAAGCCAACCCUUUUUAAAAUAUUCCAUAAAUCCUUAAUCUAAAUAAUAUAAUAACCGAGAUAAUUAAAUUGAAAUGUGCGGAAGACUUUUAACAGAAAUAAUAACAAAGUGCGGAUAUUUGUAACAUGCCUCUACCCAGUAUCUGGUGUCACUACUCACGGACUAUUAACAGAGUUCUACAAAUAUCAGUCUAAAAGAAAUGUAUAACAAGUCUGUUUUGAUACAAUUAAACAAACAAAAAGAGAUAGAUGAGACUCAGGGCCCGUGAACGCCAACGAACUACCUCGGAGUCUCUGGACUGAAGGAUAGCUCCCUAACUACUGUUGCGGUCCAUAAGCUGUGUCCUGACCUGUGCACAAAAAGGCACAGAAAUGCAAUAUCAGCACAACCGACCACAUGUGCUGUUAAGUGCCCGGCCUAGCCCCGGCAAAGUAGUGACAACAUCAGUUUGAAAGAAUAUGUAUAACAAGUCUGUUUUGAUGCAAUAAAACAAACAGAAAGAGAUAGAUGAGACUCAGGGCCCGUGAACGCCAGCGAACUACCUCGGAGUCUCUGGACUGAAGGAUUGCUUGCUGCUGUCCGUAAGCUGUAUCCUGACAUGUGCACAAAAGGCACAGAAGUGUAGUAUCAGCACAACCGACCCCACGUGUUGGUAUGUGCCCGGCCUCACCCCAGCGAGGUAGUGAUAAGGCUAAACCGGACCUACAACAAUCAACCUGUACAAAUAUACGUGCAAUAGCGGAGAUAACAAAAAUUAAACAGAUAAUGGGGAUGGGACAUGCUGGGAAUGUAACAGUUCAAUUAUAAGUCCAACGAACAAGAAAUGGAAUUGAAUAUAUAACAUUAAAUAGAGAAAGCCAGUGAAUCAACAACUGCAGGGCACCACCCUUCGUGCUUUUACUCUCAUUUCUUACCAGAACUGUCAAAUAUAACACACGACAUCACCCUUCGUACUUUUACUCUCAAUACAUAGUGCACGACAUCACCCUUCAUGCUUUCCUCACAUAACUCUCACAUCAAGGCACGAAAUGACCCUUCGUGCUCCAAUAAUCAAGAAACAUGGCACGGAAUGGUCACAACCAAACGGGAAAGGAAUAUAUAACAAGAUAAAAUAUCCUGAAAAGGGAGAAUAACUCAACAAUAAGUCUCGGCUAGGGAAAACAGCUCAAGAUUAAGUCCCGGGAAGGGAAAACAGCUCAACAAUAAGUCCUGGCAAGGGAAAAAUACCAAAAUUCCUUCUUUAGUUCAUUUGCUUCUCGACUAUCACUUCGUAGUUCAUUUAACAAAAAUUUAUCACAAUUGUUCACUCUUUUCGAAAUUUUAAUAGCAAAUAUGACUCACGGUUAUGCUAGACUCGAGCGCAUAGGUAACUGUCACCAUACCUAUACACCGACUCCACAUAGCACAUAUCAAAUAUUAUCCUAAUCCUAUUUUACUUUCCUCGGAAGCUUCCAACUCAACUCACGCCUCUAGAAUAGCUUUACCCCUCGAAUUCGCCUCAAAACCGUCGAAUCUAACCACAAUUCACUCAAAUGUAUCAACAAAUGCUAGUUAAAUCAAUUUGAAUACAUAAGAAUGAAAUUUUCCAAGUUUUACCCAAAAAUUCCCAAAAUGCCCCCAGGCCCAUGUGGUCAAAACUCGGGGUUCGAACCAAAACUGGGUUACCAAUUCCCCCAUGAGUUUAUAUAUGCACUUUAUUUUGAAAUCGGACCCCAAAUUGAGGUCCAAAUUUCCAAUUUUAAGAAAACCUGAGUUCUACCCCAAAUCCCCAUUUUUACCCAUUGAAAGCUUUGAUUUUUAAGUUGAAAUCGUGAUAAAAGAUAUUAAAGUUUGAAGAAAUUAAGUGAAAGUUGACUUACAAUUGGUUUGGGAGAGAAGGAGUCGAGAGAAAAUCGCCAAUGGAGGUUUGAGUUUUGAAAAUAUGAAAAAUGAAGUUUGAAAUCGUCUAGUAUAGGAUGCACAGUCGCAGAUGUCGCAGUUGCGAAGUUUUGUUCUCAAAUGCGAAGAAUGCAGAAGGAAUAGCGGAUGUCGCAAUUGCAAGAAAUUAUUCGCAAUUGCGAAGAGGUCAGAUUUUGAACGGAGUUCGCUUGUGAGAAUGUCUUCGCAUUUGCGAAGACUGGGCUAUCAGGAGGGUGGUUGCAUUUACGAAGAUUUCUUUGCAUUUGCGAAGACUAGCUAUCAAAAGGGGGAAUCACAUUUGCGAUAGAACAGGCAAAAGGGGAAGGCUCGUAUUUGCGAAGAUUACUUCGCAAAUGCGAAGACCGCAGAUACCAGUUGUUACAAUGAUACAAAAUGAGCCUAACACCUAUCCAAAACUCACCCGAGCCCUUGGGGCUCCAACCCAAACAUGCACCAAACCUCAAAAAUAUCCUACGGACUUACUCGUGUGAUCAAAUCGCCAAAAUAACAUCAAAAUCAAAGAAUCAACCUCCAAAACUCAUGAUUUCAUUUCAAAGUUUAAAACUUUCAAAUUUUCGAUUUUUAAUCCGAAACACGUCAAACGACGUCCGUUUUCAACCAAAAUUUACAGAUCACUUAACGCUCAUUUAAGACUUGUACCGGGUAUCUGAACCAAAAUACGAGUCCGAUACCAUUACUUUUGAUCAAAUCUCUUUUUCAUUUUCCUUAAGCAUUUUCAGAAAACAAUUUCGCAGAAAAGUUCCGUACUCGGGCCUGGGACCUCGAAUUUCGAUUUCGGGAAUACGCCGGGGUCCCAAAUUUCCUUACGGACCCUUCGGGAUCGUUAAAUCAUGAUCCGGGUCCGUUUACCCAAAAUAUUGACCAAGGUCAACUAUAGCAAUAUUAUUAUCACAAUUCAUAGUUUUUAAAUUCAAAUAUUUCCACAUAAAAUUUUUCAGCUUUGCGCCCGGACUGUGCAUGCAAAUCGAGGAAACCAAAUAAGAGGUUUUCAAGGCCUCAGAAGCACAAAGAAAUGGAGAAUUACGGUGAUGACCCUUUGGGUCGUCACAAAUUCUUUUUAUAUUUACUAGAACUUUAAGAUAUUGUACAUAGAAGAAGAAAAAACAUACUUUAUCUUUUGUUUAUCUUUAAAGUUUCUUUGAUUGGUAAUCAAAAACUGAAAUCCAUAAAUAUUUUUUUAUCUUGUUAAUUUCUCAUUUCGAAAUAUUUCUUUAGGGAUAUCAAAUGAAAAUUCAAAAUAGUUUUUUUGGUUUAUUCUUUAGACUUCCUUCCUAAAAAAAAAUCAAAAAACACUUUUAUCUUCUAGAGUGUUUCUUUAAUAAUUUUCUAUAGAGUAUUUGUUUCAAAAAGAAAAAAGGUGAGAAAACAAUAUGUGCUCGUUAAGCUUGGGUUUAGAAUAGAUAAUAGAACAUUAUGUCUAUAAAAUUCAAAAAAAAUGCUUCUUUUAUUUCUCUUUCUUCAUAAGAGUAGUCAUUAAGGUAAUAAACAAAAAGAAAAAAAAAAGAAAAAAGAAAAUGAGAACGUUAGUGUGCUUACUUUAUUCCCAAUCUUUCUAUACUACUCAAAGAUCUGAUUCAUACGACAUAAGGAUAUGUAGAAAACCUACAUAGGGUUCGAUCGAAUCAUUAUUUUUUAAUCAUUAAAAGAAAAAGGAAAAAAGAAGGAAAAAAAGAAGAAAAAAAAUUAAAAAAAGAGGUAAAAUUAUGGGAUGUGAGAAAUGAGAGGAAAAAAGAGAGUGUUAAUUAGAAGGAAAAUGAAGAAGGGAAAUGAGCAAGCCAAGAAGUGUUAGAAAAGAAAGAAAAGAGAAGAUUGAAACGAACAAAGGUGGGAUGAUACCAAGUGACCUUGUAACCCUCGAAGUAAUUCUAUAAUCGUUAAUUGUUGCUAGGUGCAUCGCACGCAAUGUGAUACUUUAGCUGUUAAAUGCCUUAAUGCUAACAGGAUGUCCCCAUUUUGUUCCCUUUGUUAUCUUCAUUGAGCAGACGGGUGGUUGGUUUGUGGUUUUUAAGUAACUCAUCCAUACAACACAAGGUCAAAGAGCAAGGUAGCCAUGUAUAGCAAAGACUUGGACACAAGGGUUAUUGAUCCGUCUAAGAGCAUUGUCAAAUUAGAAUCUGAGUUGAAAGAAGAUGUCUUAAGUUUGAAAGGACAGAUGGCCGAAAUAUACCAAGUCUGGAUUAGCGGGCGUCCUCCACCAUCAGUUCCCACUAACUACACUGAAAGCUUUGUCACCAUUCCGCUACUGUCACAAGUCUGGGAUAUCUCCCCACAACCUUUUCACACCACACCCCCCAGAACCACCUCAUAUCCCCCUUGACCACUCAUGUUUUUGUAGCUCAUCCACCUGCUACCUUUCCUCGAUCCUCUAGCGAGAUUGCGUUCAAAAUCCCCGAUGCCCAACGCUGUGCUCCAGAACCAACUUUCAAGGUUUUGGUUUUAUACUCUCACGCUCCUCAUUUUGAGCCUCCCGAUGAAACUGAAAAUCCUGUUAAGACAGUGGAGCAAGAUGAGAUAACUAGGAAGGUAAAAAUAGUAGAGCAGUCUUUAAGACGCAUGCAAGGGAUAGGGAGACAGAUAAGCGUGUUUUACAAAGACUUGUGCUUGUUUCCUGACAUCCAACUACCUACUGGGUUUAGGAUGCCAAUGUUUGAUUUGUAUGAUAGACAUGGAGAUUCCCGUGGCCCAUUUGAGAGGCUACUGUAGUAAUAUGAGAGGUGCUGGUGGGAAGGACAAAUUAUUGAUAUCGUAUUCCAGUCAGAGUUUGAGUGGGGAAGCCUUGGAGUGGUAUACUCCUCAAGAUAUUAGUAAGCAGCAAGCAUGGGGUGACAUGGCUCAAGAUUUUGUUCGGCACUAUCACUACAAUGUAGACAUUGUCCCAAACUUUUCUUCCCGAUCUCAGAUGGAAAAGAAAUCCAAGGAAAGUUUUAAGGAAUUUUAGUUGAGAUGGAACGAACAAGUUGCUUGAGUCAGUCCUUCGAUUGAUAAAAAAGAUGUUGAUGAGUCCCGCUAACGAUGAGAUCCAAUGUACAUUCCUGCUAAACGUUUUCAGACUCAAUACUGACCCUAUGAAUAUCUCCGAGCUCCACAUAAUCCACCCCAAUAUUAUCCUCCGAACAACGUCCGGCCAUCUGUCUAACCACGGUCACUCCAAAAGGCGAGCACGAGCACCGCAGAAUCCCCACCAGCCUCCAUAAAAUUUUUCAAGUGCCCUAUAACCCACAUCCAUAGGGUGUAGAAGGGCACAAAGGCUGAAAGAUAAAUUUACACCAAUAGGAGAGUCCUAUGCAAGCUUGUUUGAGAAAUUAAAGAAUUAUGACAUGAUUGCACCUAUUCCUACAAAUUACAUAGACCCACGUGCGAGAAGCUUUGACCCUGCUAAAAGAUGUGAAUACCAUUCCAAUGCCCAGGGGCACAAUGUUGAAGAUUGUCGUGCGUUGAAAAGAGAAAUAGAAAGAAUGAUUCAAGAAGGAAUAAUUGUGGUCCAAGGCAGUAAUACCCCAAGUGUCACACAUAAUCAUCUACAGGUACAUGACAACGUACAAAUUGGUAGAAUGGUUUGCAAUGACGAAGGUCCGGUCAAAGGAGUCAAUGAGCCACUUGGGAAAGUUAAUGAUUGAAGUUGGUAAUGGUCUCGAUAAUAUUGACGUGGAACUUCAUAGCUAAGAUGCCAGUUUGGUAAUUGGAAAGACGCUCCUUCCUUGGUUAGUCGAGGAGCAGUCUUGGUUUAUUUUGUUGUCAUUUAUGUUGUCGGGGUUAUUUCAGGGUUGUAAUCCGGAUAUUGUCUUGUGGCUCAAACCUUUCUAGCCUUCGAUUUUGCCUAGUUCGUUUAGUCGUAACUCGUUUUGUAUUAUCAAUUGUUCCAGGGUUGUAACCCCAGUUUAGUUACCCUUCUCCACUUAAAUAUCAGGCUUUUGUCUCGGUAGAGUUCGGACCAGUGACGUGCACCUAAUCCACACAUCACAUGUUGCCCUCUUACCACUAGACCAAAACCCUGGGGGCUUUCACAGAAGUGUGAAUCUAUAUUUUAUAAUCAAAAGAGAGAACCAAUGUAACACCAAAAUAAUGAAAUAAACAUGAGUGCGAAUCUACGUUCUUCUUAAUCAAAGUGAAGAAUCAACUAUAAAGUUAAAUAGCAGGCAAUUCUUUGAAAUAGUAAACCUUUGCCUCAGCCAAGUAUAUCACUGGGACUUAAUUACAUGAUAAUGUUAAAAAAUAGUAACUAAGCAAUCUAUUCAAAAAUCACUCAGCAAUAUUCUGCAUCAAGCCUGUAACAUGUGACUUGACAAAGUAGACAGCAACUCUCCGUAAAAAAAUCCAUAUUGCAUUGCCUUUGCCUCAUGAAACUGAUAUCACUAUGCGGUUACAGGAGCGCAUACACAUGAAUGCAAACAUAUUAAGCCAAUGGAGAAAGAUCUUGUUUCGUUGUCCAAACCUUUUCACUAUCUGUCUAAUGCAAUUUUCUGUUUUCUAUUAUUUCUAGACAUUUUCUGUUUAGUUCUAUUUUCCUUUUAUAGUUCUUUUCCUGCCGAUUCUAGGGAUAUGACAUGUAUACAUAAUUCUAGGUCUGGUCUUAAAAGUUAGUUCAAUCUUGAAGCAAUGAAAUAAUUUUGAAGAUGAUAGGGAUGCUUGAGGGAAAUAAGCAUAAAUUUGGAUAUUUUGAGAUCAUUUGAACCUCGAACCAUGUGAAACUGGGCCAGAUAGUUUGGAAAGUUAAUGGGACGACAAGAAUUUGUUACAAGAGAGUGUGUCCCAACAAUUUGAAGCAAGAAACUUUGAGUUCAAGUGCAUCUCAAAUUACAAGAUAAAGUCAAGAAAGUUUUCUCCGAAUUGAUAGAAGAUAUCCAUUGUGGGGAGAGAAUCACCCAACGAGGGUUCUGUAUUUGGCAAGGCGCUAAAGAAAAGUGGAAGACAUAUCACUGAUAUCAAUGUCGAAGCCGCGUAAGAAAUAUUAUGCAUGAUCUUCAAUUUUCAUCCUCAAGUUGCAUGUGUUGCACUUGACAUUUUCAAGGAUUGGGAGGCCCUCUUUCUACUACCCUAAUACUUAUAUCAUUCGAUAACCCUUAAGAGCCCGUACUGAUUUCUUCGACCUCCCCUCUUUUGGAGUCAAGUUAGAGUCAUACGAAAAAAAGAAAGAAAAAAAUUCAUAUCCCCAUAGGUUUAUUAUAAAAAUUUUAUUCCAAAAGAAAAAUUCAAAACAAGAAGAAAAAAAUAGAUAUAAAGAAAAAAAGGAAAAAGGAAAAAAAGAAAAAAAAAAGAAGGAAAAAGAAAAAAAAGAAAAGGAAAAAUAGUAAUAAAAAGCAGUCUUGUGAACUACGUUUGACCUUCUUGUCACCAUUAGAUACGUAGGCAGCCUUACGGUUCGGUCAUACCAAAUAAAAUAUUUCAUAAUCUCACGAAGUCAAGAGUGGGGUAGUGUUUCUUAGUAACUUGUGACGACCCGACCCGCCGUCUCUUGUAUCUCUAUCCCGUUUUCGCCGUUUUAUGCUUCUUCAUGUGUUAUUAUUUGAGACUGGUGAGUUUGAAGUGUUUCGGGUUCAAUUUGGAAAUAAAUGAGACAAAUAGUCUCUUUAAGGAAAGUUAAGUUGGAAAAGUCAAUCGGACGUUGACUUGUGAGUUAGAGGGCUCGGAAUUGAUUUUUGAUGAUUUGGUUAGCUUUGGGGGGUGAUUUUUGACUUACGAGAGCGAUCGGGAAUGAAUUUGGAGGUCCGGUGUAGAAUUAGGCUUGAAUUACGAAGUUUGAAUUUUUGGCGAAUUCGGGUUGAUAGGUGAGAUUUUGAUCCGGGGGUCGGAAUGGAAUUUCGAGAGUUGCUGUAGCUUUAUUAGGCGAUUUUUGAUAUGUCUGCAAAUUUUCAGGUCAUUCGGACGUCGCUUGGUCGAGUUUUUGAUCGAAUUUGAGUUUCGGAUGUUUUAAGAAAUUUUAAGCUUGAAUCCGUCGUGAUUUGAUGAUUUUUGUGUUAAAGGAUGUGUUUUUAUGAUUGGAACAAGUUCGUAUGAUGUUUCGGGGUGUGUUGGUGUCUUUGGUUGACAUCCCGGGGUCCUCGGGAUGAAUUCGGGUGGUCAAACGGACCCAUUUUGGUUUGUAUUGAGAUUAGUUUUUUUUGUUAUAAGAAUUGUAGAUUUUUGUUCAUCGCGCUCGCAUGAAGGAUAUCGUGUUCGCGUAGGCCUGGAAGUCUGGCCAACGCGUUCACAGGAGAAGAGGUCGCAUUCGCGUAGAGAAGGGAUGUGUGCAUCGCGUUCGCGUGGCUAGACACGCGUUUGCAUAGGGUAUUUGAACUGUUAAAAAUAUUUUGUCUUCGCGUUCGCGAGGGAGAGGUCGCGAACGCGAUGAAGGAUUUAUGGCACCUGGGCAGAAUUGAUUUAAGUCAUUUUUCAUCCGCAAGCCCAUAUUAUUUUCCUCCAUUAUUGAGCGAUUUUGGAGCUUGGGAGAGCUAAUUGAAGAGGGAAUCGAAGAGGAAUGAUUGGAGGUAAGAUGUUUGAACUUGAAACUCGUUUUUAUUGGGAAAUCUACCUAGAGAUUCAUGGAAACAAGCCAAAAAUUGAAGAAANNNNNNNNNNNNNNNNNNNNNNNNNNNNNNNNNNNNNNNNNNNNNNNNNNNNNNNNNNNNNNNNNNNNNNNNNNNNNNNNNNNNNNNNNNNNNNNNNNNNNNNNNNNNNNNNNNNNNNNNNNNUCUUCGAAUUGGGAUUUGAUAGGUCAUUUGAGCUCGGAUUUGGGAGUUUUUGGUAUGUAUGAACUCGUGGCGAGAUGAGGAUUCUGAAAAUGUAAGUUUCGUAAAUUUUUGAGAAGCAGGCCCGAGUCUCGAGUUUUGCUAGUUUCGAGGUUCUUGCUAUAAUUCGAUUUUUUUCGAUUGGGUAUUGUCCCAUUUGCAUAUUGUGAUGUAUUCGCUCUGAUUUUGGCUAGAUUCGACGCGCGUGGAGGCCGAUUUGAGGGGCAAGGGAAUCACGAGCUUGAGAUUUUGCCGAUUCGAGGUGAGUAAUACUAGGGAAUUAUAUCCUGAGGGUUGAAACCACGGAUUUGCACAUCUUAGUGCUGUAUUGUGGUGACUUGCAUGCUGGACCUGAUCGUGGGGUAGAGCACCGUUGGGAUUGUGACUUGGUCCAUCCCAAUUGUUGGUUUUUACCGCUAAAUUUUAAAUUUUUUGUUGUUAUCAUUAUGACUUGGUCUCAUUGCCAUACUUGGGGCUUGUUGCCGAUUAUUUGAACCCUUGUUCGGCUAUCAUCACUGUUUUUCCUCACUAUUUGAAAUAUCAUUGAACUCAGUCCAUGUGAUAUACAAUGUUUAUUGAAAUCAGCUAUAUUUUUACUCAAACUUGGAGUUUUAAACGACAUUUGAACUAUCAUUUGAGCUGAGNNNNNNNNNNNNNNNNNNNNNNNNNNNNNNNNNNNNNNNNNNNNNNNNNNNNNNNNNNNNNNNNNNNNNNNNNNNNNNNNNNNNNNNNNNNNNNNNNNNNNNNNNNNNNNNNNNNNNNAUUUGCGGAUGCCCUAGGGGCUUUUGACUAUUUUGGACUGAUUGAGGUUGAGGGCCAUAUGUGAAGGUAUGAAGAUGCUGUACGGAGGCUUCCAAGCCUCGAGUGUUGUGUGGGCAUGUGCGUAUACAUGCAUGGAUCGUACUACACGCCGCAGUAGUAUAUUGCAUGGAUCAGACUGCACGCCGCAGUAGCAUAUUGCAUGGAUCGGACUGCACGCCGNNNNNNNNNNNNNNNNNNNNNNNNNNNNUAUAUAUAUAUAUAUAUAUAUAUAUAUAUAUAUAUAUUAUAUUGGAUCGGGAUGCACGCUACAACAUUAAACAUAUUGGAUCGGGCUGCACGCCGCAACAUUUUUGCGCUUGUGCUGAAGGAGCCCCUCCGGAGUCUUUACACACCCCUAGUGAGCGUCGGGUACCCAUGGAUCUGUCUACGUGCCGUAACGGUCAUGUGCAUUGCAUUGCAUUCACGCAUUUACUCCUAUUUGUACUACGUGGCACAAUAUUUAACACUCAUAUAUCAUUGGCAUACAUACUGUUACUUGCCUUGUUGACCAAAUACCCUGGUGUUAUAUGUUAAGGAGUGUUGAGGCCGAGAGGCUGAUGUUAUAUGUUGUAAGUCGGUAGUGAGCCCGCUGGGCUAAUACUGCACUGAGAGGUUGAUAUUGAGCCCGAGGGGCAGGUUUCAGAUUAUUUCCUACUUGUUGAAAUUAACUUUGCGAUUGUUGGAAAAGCAUAUUUUCAAAAGAGAUUUUGAAGUGAUCUUGAGGUUUUUCUAAAGGGAUGUUUUUCACAGUAUUUCGGUCUUUCUCAAAAAGGGUUGCUAUGUCUUUUAUAGCAGUUUGUUGUGCUCAUACGUGUUUUCUUAUCGCUCAGAUAUUAUUCUCUCUUAUUGCCACUGAGUUGGAAGUACUCACUUUCCUCCCUGCACCUUGCGUGCAGUUGGAGGUAUUAAUCACCCGGUAGCGGGUUGUUAGCAGGACCGAAGGCCAUAUUUUGGUUGUCGAGCAAGGUGAACGCCAGCAUCCGUGGCACUGCAUAGCAGUUGUAGGUAUUGUUCACCCGAUAGCAGGUCAUUAGCAGGAUCGAAAGCCAUAUUCUGGUAAUUGAGCAGGGUGACUGUCAGCGUUCGCGGCACCGCAUUCCAUCCUUGCAUUAUGGUUUUGAUUUGUAAAUUUAUAUAUUGUUAGUCCAGUAGUAGUAGUGUCUCUACUCUUUAGAUGCCCGUGACUUCUCAC
rnacentral:lncRNA from 1 species